UUGCAGUUCUGCUCUAGACCAUCACUCGCACGUCCGGCCGCUCCCCGCUCCAAAGAUAGCAACACGCCCCGUGUCCCCGGGGGCUUCAAAGAACUGUCUCCCAAUCUCGCCGCCGCGGUAGAUUUUCCAUUAUUCUGAAGUACACCGCCCACGCGCUCUGACAAAACUUCCAGGACACCGUUGUUUUCGCUCGUUAUAGCCGCUGCCCCGUCUCCGAAACAGCGACUCGGGGAGCCAAUUUGUCUGAAGAGCCGCGCAGGUGGGUGGGUGACCGUGCAGGUGAAAAGCAGACAGGCAGCGGAUCGCGUCUCGCAUUUCACACGCGCGAGGCCCACUUCAACUCGCGCUGCCUGCUGCACACGGCCGAGGCGAUCGAGCGACUGGUAGAAUCAGCGUUUAGAAAUGUCACACCGCAGGAACGGUGUGGGGGUUUUCGAAGAUGUACAGAUGGUAAGGACAGAGCGUGGAGGGAUGGAGGAGAGAGGAGAGGAGAGAGGGACACAGAGAGAGGUGAAUGUGAGCAUGUCCGGUGGUGAGAAGGCUGAAGAGAAUGUCUGCUUAGACCUCCACACACACAAAGCACAACCUCUGCUGCAACAACUGUCACUCACAUGUUGCCAUGGCACCGAAUCUGAUGCGCUAUGACAACUGCUUCUCUUGGAACACGGUCGAUGACUGCCUGCUCUCCCUCGUUCGCGGCAAACGUGUCAGGUGAGUUAUUUACGUCCAAUCACACAGCUCGCACGCUUAUUCGGAGUGUCAUGUAGCAGUGUUAAUGACAAGAUGAGGAUCAACAACCGAAGCAUUGAGCGUGAUGACAACAAAAAUGCAAUUAUGUACCACAGUGCUGUAGCGUACUGUCGCGCACAAGUUCCACGGUGAAGGAGAGUAAGCCAAAUACAGUGCAAAACUGUGACCAGUUACCACACCCAGCCACCAGGGGGCAUGCUCUAACGUAUCGCCUUUGCUGGCCCAUAACUAUAACAUACCACUAUAAUUAUAAUGACCAAAUAACAAGGAAACCAACAGACAAAUUAUGAAGCUAUAGCCAAAUUUUGGAGCAUUCCACCAUCACUGCUGUGUUGACAGUGUGCUUCUGAUUCGAUAUGCCGUUUUGUGGGCGAUGGAUUGAAAUGCCUGUUGAAAUCAAGAAGACUGGAGCUGACUGGCAGUGGAUUUUCACUCGUGGGAGGGUCUUGGAACUGAUUAGAGAUCAGCUGGAGACCACUUCAGCAAUAAUGCUGCAUUUCAUAUGAAGAAGAGGAGGAAAUAUAUGAGGGUAAAACGGCAUAAGACAAGAAAGGUCAGAUAUCUCUCUCUCUCUCUUUCUCUCUCUCCACUUCAUCCACACACUUUCUGCCUUUUUU